AUAUUUUUUGUUUUAUUUUAUUUUAUUUUAUUUUAUUUUUGUGAUAAAUUAAAUAUCCUACAAAAAAGACAUAUUUUUUAUUUUUUAUGUUAAUAAUCAAACUUAAAUAAUCUAAAAAAACCUAAUGAGAAUCAAACUAAAUUUAAAUAUAAGAAAAUUGAGAUUUUUUAUAUUUAUUUGACAAUAUUAAACAAUUACUUAAUUUAUAAAAAUACGAAUUAAUUAAU
rnacentral:lncRNA from 1 species